rnacentral:tRNA from 1 species
GUUAAGGUGGCAGAGCCCGGAAUAAUGCAGAAGACCUAAGCCCUUCACACAGGGGUUCAACUCCCCUCCUAAACU